CUUCUGUUAUUCAGUAAUAAAUCGUUGGUUUCAUCUGAAAUGUGAAAAAAGUUGUGACGUGUUAAUUUAUCAUUUCCAGAUUGGUGCACUCGGAAGUGUGGCAGGAACUUGCAAGCUUUAGUCACAGAGGAACCAAUUCAUGUUUCUGAUCGCAUCUGAUGUUGUCCGUUUCAAGUCUCAUAAAACAUAGCUGCUGAUUUACUGUCUUGUGAGGUUUCUGUCAGAAAUGGUGCUACUGUGACCGACAAGGCUCUCUUGACAUGAUAGUUGUGCCAAUUCAUCUAUAAUGAACCUCCACUUGGAUCCUUGGAAUCAAAAGCCAUUGUGGAACUUCUCCUCGACAGUAUGUUGGGUAGUGAACUCUGUGAAAGUCCUUUUGUGCAUGGCAUCACGGUUUUGUUGACACUGCUACAGGUUCACAGGGAUCCACAAUUGCUGUCCAGCGAGCCAGAAGUAUUGAUUUCUAGCUGAUGCUGUCGUUUCACCUUGUUUUCGAAACACUGUGGAGGACAUCAUUCCACGUUUAAAAGACUUACAUCAAAUUCUGUCUCAACUUCCUAAUUUACUGUGCCCCAGCCUAUACUUCCCCUCCGUGGCUCUACGCUGCUCUUCUCUGCCCCAGUGCUACACCACUUGGCCCCGGCUCCAAGUUGCUGUGCCCUUGCCUACACUUCCCCUCCGUGGCUUUACGCUGCUCUACUCUGCCCCAGUGCUACACCACUUGACCCCGGCUCUACACAAGACGGCUCUACAACAGUGCCACAGCCCUACGUCAUUCUGCCCAAGCCCUACCCCAGUCUCCCUAGUGUCAGAUUUGCAAUAUAAUAUCGUAUUUGAAUAUAUUGUUUGUUGUACUGUUUGU